UUUUAUGGAGAGUUUGAUCCUGGCUCAGGAUGAACGCUGGCGGCGUGCCUAAUACAUGCAAGUCGAGCGAACAGACGAGGAGCUUGCUCCUCUGACGUUAGCGGCGGACGGGUGAGUAACACGUGGAUAACCUACCUAUAAGACUGGGAUAACUUCGGGAAACCGGAGCUAAUACCGGAUAAUAUAUUGAACCGCAUGGUUCAAUAGUGAAAGACGG
rnacentral:rRNA from 1 species